AACACAAACAAAGCAAACAAGGCAGAAAGGGUCAACUUCCUAGAGUAAUGUAAUAUAAGUCCUAGCUUGAUUUAGCAUAGUUAAGUAGCGUGUGAAUAAUAGUUAGACACAACAUAAGUCAAUCUCUAUCCUUUGAACGUCAAGUCAUCAAUCCAUCACUCGCCGUCUACGCAUAGAUGUAUCUUCAUUUCUUUGCCAGGGCAGCAUCACGUCUCACUAAUGGAAACGCACGACUCAGCGGUCAAUCAUCUAGCACGAUGAGCUCUAUACUCUCUAAUCAACAAACAGAUAACAGGAUCAAGGACUAGCCCCUUAAUCGAUCCAAGUAAUAGGAGUUAAGGUCUAACCUCUUAAGCAAAUAACAAUUAGUAUGACUAAGGUCAAUCCUCUAAAUCAACUAACACAUAAUAGGAUUAAGGUCCAGCCACUUUAAUCCAAGGACAAAUAAUAUGAUUAAGGUCCAACCACUUUAAUCAAAUAGCAAAAAUAGGAUUAAGGUCCAGCCACUUUAAUCCACAAGCAAAUAAUAGGAUUAAGGUCCAUCCUCUUUAAUCCAUAAGCAAAUAAUAGGAUUAAGGUUCAUCCUCUUUAAUCCAAUAACGAAUAAUAUGAUUAAGGUCAUACCCC
rnacentral:lncRNA from 1 species